ensembl:lncRNA
AUUACAGCCAGCACUAGGAGGCUACAGGGUUCAUAAAGAGGCUGUCCAAAAGUAUGAUUAAACUUCCACUAAGGACGACUGCAGGGGACAGGGACAGGAAUGAGAAGGAUCUGGGAACACAGAAUCCAGGAAGAGUUCCGUGCCAAGAGAUGAAGGAAGAGGAACAAGGAAGGGGAUGGUGGACGCCUCUCAUGGUCUCCUCCGCUUAUCUGGACACAUCUAAGCUAAGAAUGGUGUUUCGUAGUUUUAUUUGUCGCCUUAUUUCCUCGACAUGCGCUGCCAUUGACA